UGAACUCUUUUUCCAUUUAAUUUGGAAGAGCCAAAUUUGGGCCCCUCACCUUAUUCCUAAUUCCCAGGCCCAAGUUUCCCUUCCCAAACCCAAAUAUACAACGGCCCAUCCAUUAAGCCCAAACCCAAAUUAAUAUUAACCCGCCCAGCUCCCCAAACAGACCUGACCCAACCCGUUUCCCCCUUUCCUCUUCCCAUCUUCCCCACGUCUGUUUCAGAAAACAGAAUACACCAGAAUUCCCAAGAAACAGAUGCGCGACUUGCCCAAACGCGACGGAAAACCCCUCUCUCACCCGCGUCUCCCCCCCCCCUCCACGCUCUCUCCCUCUCUCCCAAACUCCCUCCCUCGCGCAGAAUCCCCCAAACGAAACCCAAAAAAGGCAAAAAGAAAAAAAACGCAGAAGAGGCAGACCCCAAAGCGGAAAAUCCCCCCCAGACGCGACCUCUCUCCCCUUCGCUCUCCUCCUCUCUCUCACGCGAGCUGCAACAGCUCUUUUCGAGUCAUUUUUUUGCUGCAAAUCGUACGAUUCACGCAGGUCAGGCAGCAAAGGAAAGCUUCUCUUGUCCUUGCCACGCCAAGAUGACUCCACGUCGCCCGCCUAGGACACUCGACUGAUCUCGACCGUCUCUCCUUCCUUUCCGUUUGUGGAAUGGGAGGAAUUUUCAGAAAAAAGGGAUGCUACUCUGUUAGGGGAAAAGGAUUUCGAAUUUGAAAUUCAAAAUGGGCCUCAAGUCACGUUCCCGCCCUCCCUCUUUUGAAAACCCUAAUAUCGCCCUAUAUAAACCCCUUCCGUCUUCAAGAAAAGGGGUUAGAGAUUUUUAUCAAAAAUUUCAGAGAGGCAGAACUUGGGUUUGGAAUUUCGGACGAAAAUUUUAGUUGGAACUUGGUCGAAAACAUCGUUUGUUCGGUCUGUUCUGGGGUUGGCGAUUUGGGUUUAAAAUCUUGGACAAAAAUUUGAGUUGAAAUUUCGUGUCUACUGUUUAGCUAGGAAGAAGAAGAAGGAGUGCUUCCCUGCUGGUUUCGUGUGUGGAAUCGCCCCUCUACUCAUCAUCCCGUUCGCUGCUCCGAAGAAGGAGAGCCAUAAAGGCUCAGAAAUUUUGUCCAUCGAGUCAACCCGUCGAAGCCAAGGAUCGCGAAGACGUAUUGAAGAGUUGAAGAAAGUCAAAGAACGGAUUGGAAGGCUUCUCCGUUUUUUUUUUUGCAUUUUAUUUGUAAAGGGCAUAAGCCCUCUUGUCGUUUUUUUUUUACUUUCUUAUUUUAUUUUGUAUGUUUAGAAUAGGACAAGUACAAAACGGGUCAAAUACCCAUAAGCAGGUGGGUCUAACAUUCGGUCAACGCGAACAGAACCCAAGUUGGACCCAAAUCUCUCUCUCUCUC